rnacentral:tRNA from 3 species
UGCGGGAUGGAGCAGUCUGGUAGCUCGUCGGGCUCAUAACCCGAAGGGCGUUGGUUCAAAUCCAGCUCCCGCUACCA